rnacentral:snRNA from 1 species
AUUAUUUUUGUAAAAAAAUCCCCAUAGGGGGACUACAUAUUAAAUGGAUUUUUCAAACAGGGAGUCGGAAAUGGGGCUUGCUCCGUCCGCUCCACGCAUCGACCCGGUAUUGCAGUACCUCCGGGAACGGUGCAACACUU